AUUGUAAGCUACCAGACAUUCUUGUGAUUUGGAUCUGCAAUUCAGAGAAGCUGAUUGUGUGUCAUUUUGCAGUGUGAAUUAGUGGUGAGGACUGCGAGGAAUCUGAUUGUGGUGACAGUUGAGUUCAAGGAGACCAUCUUUUAUUCUAUGAACUACACAUUGGUGAUUAUAAUGUCGAACUUAUGGCUGAUAUAAGUUUGUCAAAAGUUGGAAUCCAAGAAGAUAACAACAUACAAAGAG